GCACCGGUGAUGUAAUGGUGCAGAGCAUUCCCGCCCGGAGAGCGGAAGGUGCGAGUUUGAGUCCCACCUGGCGCU
rnacentral:tRNA from 1 species